UCCGGUUUGGCACCGGCAGUCUCUCUAGAGUGCCCAACUAAAUGGUGGCAACUAGAGACGAGGGUUGCGCUCGUUGCGGGACUUAACCCAACAUCCCACGACACGAGCUGACGACAGCCAUGCAGCACCUGUGUCCAGGCCCCGUAAGGGGAGGAAGGCAUCUCUGCCAACCGUCCUGGCAUGUCAAACGCUGGUAAGGUUCUGCGCGUUGCUUCGAAUUGAACCACAUGCUCCACCGCUUGUGCGGGCCCCCGUCAAUUCCUUUGAGUUUUAAUCUUGCGACCGUACUCCCCAGGCGGAAUGCUUAAUGCGUUAGCUGCGCCACCGAAGAGCAUGCUCUCCAACGGCUGGCAUUCAUCGUUUACGGCGUGGACUAC
rnacentral:misc_RNA from 1 species